ACCAGAUCUCUGGUUCGCGGUUUUUUCCUUAUAAAAGCACCCGUUUUCAGAAACAUUAACACACAAAGUUUCUUUAUCGCUCUAGUACGGUUUCGUGUGAAAAUAUUUACAAUGAAUAAAACUUUGAUUGUUGCUUUGGCGCUGAUCGCCGUUGUAGUCGCAACUCCAGGUUACGGUGGACAAAAUCAGAACAGCGGACAUGGUCAAAGUGGACAACACGGCGGAUUUGGUGGACAAAGCCACGACCAAGGCUUCGGUCAGGGCGGACACGGCGGCGGCCAAGGACACAAUGGCGGAUAUGGACAAAGUGGACAUGGUGGACAAGGCGGACAUGGCGGACAAGGAAGUCACGGUGGACAAGGUGGACACUACUAAAAAUAAUCGAGUAUUCAAUUGCUGUUAUGUGAAUUCUUUAUGAAUAAAUAAGUUUGCGCUAUUCACAAAA